rnacentral:rRNA from 1 species
GAUGAACGCUAGCGGCAGGCUUAACACAUGCAAGUCGAGGGGCAGCAUAAAUAGUAGCAAUACUAUUGGUGGCGACCGGCGGACGGGUGCGUAACGCGUAUACAACCUUCCCUAAACAGGGGGAUAAUCUGGAGAAAUUCGGUCUAAUACCACAUAACAUCAGAGCAGGCAUCUGUUUUGGUUAAAAUUUCCGGAGGUUUAGGAUGGGUAUGCGUAGCAUUAGCUAGUUGGUGAGGUAAUGGCUCACCAAGGCGACGAUGCUUAGGGGGACUGAGAGGUUAACCCCCCACACUGGUACUGAGACACGGACCAGACUCCUACGGGAGGCAGCAGUGAGGAAUAUUGGUCAAUGGGCUGAAGCCUGAACCAGCCAUGCCGCGUGCAGGAUGACGGCUCUAUGAGUUGUAAACUGCUUUUGUACGAGGGUAAAGUGGGCUACGUGUAGCCUUUUGAAAGUAUCGUACGAAUAAGGAUCGGCUAACUCCGUGCCAGCCGCCGCGGUAA